CCUACGGGAGGCAGCAGUGAGGAAUAUUGGUCAAUGGGCGAGAGCCUGAACCAGCCAAGUCGCGUGAGGGAGUACUGCCCUAUGGGUUGUAAACCUCUUUUGUCGGGGAGCAAAAGCCGGUCGUGUCCGGCUGUGAGAGUACCCGAAGAAUAAGCAUCGGCUAACUCCGUGCCAGCAGCCGCGGUAUUACGGAGGAUGCGAGCGUUAUCCGGAUUUAUUGGGUUUAAAGGGUGCGCAGGCGGAUUUUUAAGUCAGCGGUAAAAUCGUGGGGCUCAACCCCAUCCAGCCGUUGAAACUGGGGAUCUAGAGUGUGCGAGAGGUAUGCGGAAUGCGUGGUGUAGCGGUGAAAUGCAUAGAUAUCACGAAGAACCCCGAUUGCGAAGGCAGCAUACCGGUGCACAACUGACGCUCAGGCACGAAAGCGUGGGUAUCGAACAGGAUUAGAUACCCGGGUAGUC
rnacentral:rRNA from 1 species